GAGGGAUCCAAGAUCGAGGUGUUCAAGGCUAGUUAUAUGAUAUAACCAAUCAGGAAUAGGAGAAGUGAAGUAGUUAUAAGAAAGAUCUAGGAAUCUAAGAGAAGUCAUGUUACGAAGACUUGAUGGAAUUGGGCCCUGAAUAUUGUUAAAUGCUAGAUUAAGAGUAACAAGAGAAUUAAGAUUAGCAAACCGAUCAAAUGAUAUAGAAAUAAAAUAAUUAUUUGAAAGGUCAAGGAUGACUAGAGAUGAAAAAUUGACAUGUGGGAGAGGGUCAAUAGUUUGAAGCCCACACGUCGACAAGCGCAACACAGAUAAAGAAUGGAACUUGUUCAUUACCUGUAACCAAUUUGAUGCUUUGCUUAGGUUCACACCUGUCAUGUCAAGGAACUCUAGGAAGGUAAGACCAAAAAUCCACUCAAGAUCCUCAGCAUUCAAAUAAGAAUUCCCAAUGUCAAGAUAAUGCAACUUGGAUAAAUUUCCGAGUUGAUGAGGAAUAACACCACCAAAAUCUGCACUAGAGAGGUUAAGAUAUCUUAAAUUGGAGAGGGCACCAAAGAAUUUUGGAAUAUUAAGGAACCCAAAGUAAUUACAGCUCAAGUCCAAGUAUCGAAGAUGCUUCAAGUCCAACAAAGAACUACUUAUCUCACCACCCAGAGAACCAUGAUCUGGAUAAAGAUCCCGUCGGAGGUUGAGCUUGAGAACAUGUCCUGUUGUGUUGUGACAACGAACUCCUUCCCAAUUACAACACUCUUCACUGACCCAAGAAGAGAGUCUAUUUGAAGGAUCAUGAAUGCCUCUUUUGAAGCUCUAAAGAGCUUCUCUUUCUUCUUCUCUGCAAAGAGCCUUUGGACUAUGCCCAGCACAAAAACCGAACUUUGUGAUUGUAGUGAAAAGAAAAUAGAGCAAGAGAACCACUAAACCUCUCAUGUACAACUCCAUUAGGCGAGAUGAUUUUAGAGCACACAAUGUGAAGGGUUUCAAGGAUUAUCUAAUAUUUAUAGUCAUUAGAGACAUGGCCGACAAGACUAUAGUGUUGCCUUAUUCUAAAAAUUUCUGAUGUCGAUAGGUCAAUUUAUUGUGUUAAAAAAGGAUAGCUGUGGAGUGUGGACUAGCUGUGUAUACGGAUAGGUUUCGUGGAAAAGAAAAUACAUGAAAUGGCAUAAUUACACUUGCUAUGAUGUAAGUUUAGAAAAGUAUUUCCAUGUUCUGCAAUUUUAAGUAAAAUCCAAUACUAUUAAAGAUGACAUAAUUAUAUAUUUUAUUAAAUAUAUAAUGCCGAUCUUGUCUCCAAUAACUUGUCGGUUGGAGUUCACUCUGGCUUUGAUAUUUUUACAAACUAAAUAAUUUUUAUUUAAGGAGAAUCUUAUUAGUAUUUUAUUUUUAUCAUUUUUCAUGUUAUUCAAAUAUAUGUAAAUCAUUUUCUCUUAUAUUUUUCUCUUUUAUUUAAUUAGCAUGUUUUAGGAACCAAACUUCAUCUUAAAAUUUUAGAAUAAGUUCAUUGCAUAAAUAAUUAAAAAAACAUUUCAUACAAAUGAUGGUUAAUACAUGUAUAUAUAAGAAAGUACAAGACAUUAGUUUUUAGAAAACAUUGGAUAGGGAUGGCAACGAGAUGAGUUCAGGAUGGAUUAUCUCCAUCCCAACCUCAUCCCAUUUAUUUAUAUCUAUUUUGGCUCAUCCCCACAAAAAAAAAAAAAAAAAAAAAAAAAAAAACAUUUAAAGAGGGCAAUAAAUGAGAAAGUAUAAGACAUUAGUUUCUAGAAACCAUUGGAUAAGGAUGGUAAAGGAGCAAGAUGGAUCACUCUCAUCCAAAUCUCAUCCCAUUUAUUUAUAUCUAUUCUCAUCCUUGCUAAAAAAAAUAAAAUAAUAAAAUUAAAUAGGGUUGGGUAGAAUUGGUAUAGGAAAUUCCAAUAAUCCCCAUAUGCCUCAUUUAUUUUUUAUUUUAAAAAUUUUAAAUAUUAUCUAUCAAUAAAGAAAUAUUAUAAAUAUUUAUAAUUUUGAAAAGUAAUAUUUUAUGUAUGUUAAAAAAUUUUGAAAAAAAACAAAAAACGAAAAUAAUUUUUUUAUUUAGAAUUACAUAUAAUUGGGGUGGGGUAGAGUGGGAAAAAGUUGUACCUAAACUCGCCCCAAACCCAUCUUGGUUUUUAAAACUUCACAAACUUGUCUUGAACCCAUUUAUCUUUAUCCCAAUCUCUUCCUAUUUGGGGAGGGAUGGGUAGGUAUUCAAAAAAACCUAUUCCAUUGUCAUCCCUACUAUUGGACCAUGAUGAAAUUAUCAUACAUUUUAUAUUAAAGAGUAAAAAUCACUUUAUAAAAGUAGAGAUACAUGUAGUAUGUACCACGCAUAAAUAUAAUGUUACACAUUAAUGUUAUACCUAUAACAGUAUCAUGACCUUAGCUUUCUCCGUGUGAAAAAUUUUAAAAUAUCAAGGAUUAUUUUUGGUAGUAGAAGGAUGACUCUCUCUUACCGUGGUUGACUUGCAAGUAAUGAGAGUGACCGUGACAAAAUUUUCCAUGAAAAGAAGAAAAGAUGAUCAUAUGGUCUUGUCCUCUUUGUGAUUUCCUCUACCAUAUUGCCCAACUAGUAAAAACCAAUGUCAUGGGAAUAUGGUCUGUUUGCAAUUAGGCUUGGUCGUGCUUGACUAGCAAAGAGGCAAAUGACAAAAUCUUCUGGGUUUUCUAAGUUAAUUAAAAGAAAAAUGCAAUUUUUCAAAUGAAAAUGUAAUUUCUAUUUCUCCGAGGAUACAUAAAUUUGUAUCUCCUCAUUCAAUAUGCCUUAUACACGAAGUAGUUUUAGGAUCAUCAUUUUUUCUCACUAAAUAAAAGAAGCUAUUGGCAACAGUGAUAAGUAUAGCCAUUAGCAGCAAAAAGAAGAUCGUGCAACCUUUAAUCACAGCUACUUAAAAGCCCAUUAAAACUUGCUUGCAUUUUAUAGAUGUAUUUUCAUCUUCAUUUCCAUGAAGAAAAUUUGGCAAUCAAAGAUAUAAUAUAUAUAUAUAUAUCUGUAUAGAACUUCACAUGUAUAUCUCAUUAGAGGACAUCUAUUCCUCUAUUUGCAUACAUAAUAAUCCAAAUUAUAUGUUUUAAUUUUUUGGGUCAACUUUCCACAUAGUUAGGAACAAAUAAUGAAAAAAAAAAAGUCAUCUAUUGACUCUUCUCGCUACCCAACAGCAGAAGCAGACAAUUGGCCUGUAGGUAGUGAGGGCACGAGCUUGACCCAUAGGCUAUGAAAAUGAGAUGGCUUUUAAAAAACUGCAUGCAGAAAUUGAAAGAAAUGAAAUUUUAAGCAACACGCCAAUGUGUAUAUACACAGUGGACAAUGAUCUUUGCCCGUAGGUGGUGAAAAUGAGAUGGCUUUAAAAAACUGCAUGCAGAAAUUGAAAGAAAUGAAAUUUUAAGCAACACGCCAAUGUGUAUAGACACAGUGGACAAUGAUCUUUGCCCGUAGGUGGUGAGGCAUGAGCUUGACCCAUAGGCUAUGAAAAUGAGAUGGCUUUUAAAAAACUGCAUGCAGAAAUUGAAAGAAAUGAAAUUUUAAGCAACACGCCAAUGUGUAUAUACACAGUGGACAAUGAUCUUUGCCCGUAGGUGGUGAGGCAUGAGCUUGACCCAUAAGCUAUGAAAAUGGGAUGGCUUUUAAAAACUGCAUGCAGAAAUUGAAAGAAAUGAAAUUUUAAGCAGCACGCCAACGGGGAAUCUAAAGCUCAAAAUGUGGAAUUCCUGUUGUCAAUGCAAUAUAUAUAUAUAUAUAUAUAUAUAUAUAUAUAUAUUUCCUUCAACACAGUGGACAAUGAUCUUUGCCCAUAGGUAGUGAGGGCAUGAGCUUGACCCAAAGGCUAUGAAAUGAGAUGGCUUUAAAGAACUGCUUGCAAAAGUUGAAAGAAAUGAAAUAUAUAUAUAUAUAUAUAUAUAUUUCCUUCAACACAGUGGAAAAUGAUCUUUGCCCGUAGGUAGUGAGGGCAUGAGCUUGACCCAGAGGCUAUGAAAUGAGAUGGCUUUAAAGAACUGCUUGCAGAAGUUGAAAGAAAUGAAAUUUUACUCAGCACGCCAAUGUGGAAUUCCCGUUGUCAAUGCAUUUGAUAACGAAGUUCAGACUCAUAAAAUUAAAAGUUUAGAGUAAAGAGAGAAAUUGAAGUUGAAGGUCAAGCCAUGAAAAGCCUGGGAACUUGAGGGAUUAGUUUUAAAUUCAAUUCAGCCGGCCGGCCAAAGCCACAAAAGGAACUUGGUUUCUCCUGUUGAGUAAUGGUGUUUACAUAAGUCGGCCCCUUUUCUCCCUCAAUAUGCCUAAGACAUGGUUGUAGGGUCUUUCUAACAAGAACUGAAAGGAGUUGUUAAUUAAUGUGGUGAUAAUAAACUACAGAACUUUUGUCAUGAAACAAUUGCUAUAGGUUCAAUAUCAUUUGUGAUUUGCUUAUAAAUUUAUCCAGAAUUGUAUUUCAUAUCUCACUGUUAAAUGUGUCUUUAUUUUUCCUUCCAUUACUUCAUGUACCUUUUUCGAAUGGAUAAUGAUUCUAGAGAAUAUUUAGCAAUGUGAAAGAUUAAGGUAAUGUUUGAUAAAAUAAAAAAUAAUUGGCAAUGUGCACUUAAAUCCUUUUUUCCAUGGUUAUUCCUUGUGCUUCAAAUGUCCCUAUACGUUUAGUGCCUUGGCCUCUACGCUCUGAGCGAGCCUCAACCUUGUUAAGAGUGCCUCAUGUUCAUCCUUGUUGUUCAUAACAUCGAAGCCUAGGCAUUCGAAUGGCCUUCUUAGGGUCAUAUCUUUAGGAGAUACUAAGGCCACCCAUGCUUUUGUAUGGACGUGGCUGUAGCUGAGCUGUCCACCCUAAAUUCCCAUGGCAAACUUAUGCUUAGGUUAGAUUCUCAUGUCAUGUCUGAUUCUUUACUUUUCGUGAAGUCUACCAGGAAAUUUGCAACCAUUUAUGUCUUCAAGGUGAUUGGCAUACAUGAGUCUGUUAAUUAUUAAUCAUAGCUGGUUUUAAAGAAACUUUCAGAGUUCUUGGCAUUGUUAUAAUCCUUUUAUCUGGCAUUAGGAUUUCGUCUUUGACAAGCAAACGUUCAGAAUGAGACCCUUGGGUGAUAAAAUGAUUAUAUAAAUUGCAAAGGUUUAAGGAACUGCUACAACAAACCAUGGCAAUCAACUUUGUGGAAACUGAAUGGAGUAAAUUACAGUAAGAUCGCAAAGUACUUGAGGUUGCAGUGAGGCAGCAACUUCAUGAAAAAAGACAAGUCCAAGUGCAAAAGCUAUAUAAUUUUUAUUAAUGAUGCCAAGCUAUAAGCCACAAAUGGAUAAUAAAUGGUGAAUGAAAGACUAGAAAAUGGAGUCAAGAUGAUAAGACUGAAUAUGUGAGCAGUUGAAACAAAUAUGAAUAUUGAAAGUAUAAAGCGACAAUGAGGUAGUGAAUUUCAUUAUCAUUGUGGAAGUAGCUUGAAAAUGCUGAACUCACCUACCUCUGAAGAUACUUCAGCUGUGGUUGCCAAGAAAAGUGAGUAAAGGCUAGGAAAGAAAAUAAAAAUUUUAAAUCAAGGAACCACCUGGGGCGGAUUUCAUCUAGGAAGAAAGAAACAUUUUAUGGGUUUUGCAAUAACUCAAAAUUUUAUUUCACAGAUUGCUUCUCUUACAUAUACAAUGACAUGAGAUCUGUUUGCAGUGAUUAACAUUUCUCUUGAUUAGAUGUGUUAGACUGACACUUCUAUCCAAAUAUUUAUUUUUUUGGUGUUUUUGAGUCAUGAAAACUCCAUGUUAGAUUUAUCUGAGCAACCGAAAUUAAUAGUCACAAAAGGAAAGUUAGGAUAUGAGUGUUGGGUUUCCCUUCUUUGUGGGACUCUUAAAUUUACUAAAUAUGGUUUUGCUAUUUUUGGCCAACACCUUGGUUAGCACAUGACUCUUGGCAUAUUCAAGAUUGGUUUGAAGUCUUCAAGGAAAGAAAAAGCUACAAGUCUUUUUGUCUUUUCCUUGGGUUCAUUAUCUUGGUCGGAAAGAAGACUUUUGGGAUACCUUUUUGGUUCAAACAAAAUAAAAAGAAAAUCAGCCUUCUUCUUCUCUAUUUUUUUUUGGUGCUACACAAUCAGCAAGUUUGUUCUUCAAGUGGGUAACGUUCCUUCACUUGAUAUUUGGGGUUUCUUGCGGUUUGUUCUUGGAGAUUUGGUUUACUUUUGUGAGGUAUUUUUCCUCUUGUAAUUUACACCUUGGUGUGUUUGUAAGGCUUAUGCCUUUUGGCCACUUUGUAAACUCUUUUGGUGAUAGUGGAAGAAACUGACCUACCGGUCGUCGUGGACGUACCUCAAGUUAUUUGAGGGAACCACGUAAAUCUUGUGUGCUCAUUUAUUUUCUGUUAUUCUAUUUAUAUUGCUUCCAUUGAUUUACACUUGUGGGAAAGCCUAGUUUUUUUUCAACAUCUGGUAUCAGAGCUGUUGGUUAAUUCGAUUCCGAUUCGUUAUAUUUGUGUGUGUGAAUUAUGGACGGCAAUGUUGGGCGUAUGGUUAGUUUCAAUGGCACAAAUUGGGUGACUUGGAAAACUAAAAUGGAAGACCUUUUGUUUUGUAAAGAUUUGAAUGGACCCAUAGAGGGUGAUAGUGGCAAACCGGAAGGGAUGAAAGAUGACGAGUGGAAAAAGCUAGACCGAAAAGCUGUCGGUUUUAUUCGGCAAUGGAUUGAUGAUAGUGUCUUUCAUCAUGUCUCUACAGAAAAUUCAGCACAUGGUCUUUGGACCAAAUUGGAGAGUCUUUAUGAUAGAAAGACGGCCGUGAAUAAAGCUUUUUUAUUUCGAAAGCUUGUGAAUUCUAAAUAUAAGGAGGGUACUCCUAUUGCAGAGCAUUUGAAUGAGAUUAAGAGCAUUGUGAAUCAAUUGGCCGCCAUGAAAAUUACCUUUGAUGAUGAGUUGCAAGCUUUGUUACUUCUUAGUUCACUUCCUGAAAGCUGGGAAACUUUGGUGGUCACAGUUAGUAACUCCACACCUGAUGGAGUGGUAACAAUGAGUCAAGUUACUAGCAGCCUGUUGAAUGAAGAGACAAGAAGAAAAUCAUCAGGUUCUUCUCACUCCGAGGCACUUGUGAUAGAAAAUCGAGGGAGAGGCAGGAGUAAGAGUAAGGCUUCGCACAACCGUGAUAAAUCUAGAGGUCGUUCAAGCUCGAUUUCAAAGAAAGAUGUUGAGUGCUAUUAUUGUCACAAGAAAGGGCACAUGAAGCGGGAGUGCAGAAAACUCAAGUUCAAGGAGCAGAACAAAGAGAAAAAUUCAGAGAAAAAGCAAAAUGAUACAGCUGUAGUUACCGAUGGUGAACUCAUGAUUAUUCGUGAUGAUGUUAGCGUUAAUUUGAUUGGCCAAGAGACGGAUUGGGUAAUUGAUUCUGGAGCUUCAUUUCAUGUUACUUCGCGGGCUGAUUUCUUUACUUCUUACUCGCAAGGUGAUUUUGGGAAUGUCCGUAUGGGAAAUGAAGAUGUGUCAAAAAUUGUCGGCAUGGGUGACAUUUGCUUGGAAACAAAUACUGGAUGCAAAUUGUUGCUUAGAGAUGUGAGGCAUGUACCGGAUAUUCGGCUCAAUUUAACGGAACUGAUAUUUUUGCAAAAAUCUGCAAGUGUGUUGUGAAUACCUUAGAGAAUGACUCAUCCACCGAUUUAUGGCAUAGAAGGCUUGGACAUAUGAGUGAGAAAGGAUUGCAAGUUUUAUCCAAGAAAGAGCUUCUAGCGGGGAUAAAAGGUACGCCUUUGAAAACAUGUGUUCAUUGUUUCCAUGGUAAACAAAAUAGAAUAUCAUUCCGUAGAAACAUUGCAUUUAGAAAAUCUCAUGUUCUAGAUUUGAUACAUUCUGAUGUGUGUGGUCCUUUGAAAGUUAGGACACUUGGUGGUGCUCAAUACUUUGUCACUUUUAUUGAUGAUCACUCUAGAAAAGUUUGGGCUUAUACACUGAAAACUAAAGAUCAAGUUCUAGAUGUGUUUAAGCAUUUUCAGGCCAAGGUUGAAAGAGAAACUGGUAGACAGUUGAAAUGUGUCCGCUCGGAUAAUGGUGGUGAAUAUAUUGGACCAUUUGAUCAGUAUUGCACUAAUCAUGGCAUCAGGCACGAAAAGACAGUAAAAAAGACACCUCAACAGAACGGGGUUGCAGAGAGAAUGAAUCGCACCAUUCUUGAGAGAGUCAGAUGUUUGCUCUCACAUUCUAAAUUGCCAAGAUCUUUUUGGGGUGAGGAAAUGAGGACAGCAGUUGAUCUUAUCAAUUUGUCUCCUUCAGUUCCGUUGAAUGACAAAUUUGUCUCCUUCAGAUCUCAUGUACGCAAAUUGUUGUAUGACAAAUUUAAAUGGCUCAAAAAUGAUAUUUUUGCCAUACCUUGAGGAAUAACACCAGAAAGUCUGUUCAUGGAGAGAUCAAGAGACUCCAUUGAUGUCAUGGCCCCAAUCUUCACAGGAAUCUUCCCUUGGAGAUGGUUAUUAGACAGGUUCAAGAAUACCAAACCAUGGAGACCUGUGAGUUCUUCUGGGAUCUCACCAGAUAACUUAUUGCUUGAGAGGUCCAUGCCAGCUAGGAGGCCAAGAAUAUUGCUGUACUCGUACUCUACUCCUUUCAUAACCAGUGUUGCUGUGUCGGUUGAUCCCGAUUCAAAAUAACGUUCAUUAUGAAAAGGAAAGGGGGAACUUGAAUUCGAUUGUUUGAUCAUGCUGCUGAAAUUACCAAAGCAUCUGGGAAUGGUUCCGGAGAGAUUGUUGUUUCCCAAGUCCAGGAUUUGAAGGGAAUGAAGGUGGCAAAGUUCAAGAGGAAUACUUCCAUUGAACUUAUUUGAAUGAAGGACAAGAACCAUUAGACCCGGUGUAUAUGUAAUCUCACCAUCCCCUGGUAAUAUUUCAAUGAACUUUCCAUUGAAGUUCCCCAUCCAUGCUGGUAUCGUCCCAGUGAAUUCAUUCUUACUAAGGUCUAGAACCACUAGACUAGAGCAAUUUUUCAAUGGAAGUGGAUAAUUUCCGGAGAGAUGGUUGUUGCGCAAGUGCAAUGAACCGAGCCAAAUUAGAGAACCCAUGGAGCUAGGUAUAUGUCCCGUCAGAUUAUUAUUUCCCAAUUUUAACAUCGUCAAUUCUCUCCAAUACAUCCAACAAUUGGGAAGUUCUCCUGACAGAAGAUUUCCUGAGAUGUCUAGAGACUCCAAUAAAUUUACUUCUUUAUCAGUUCUCCGACACAACAUGGGUGAAAGAGAUCCACAGAAUAAAUUAUUGGAGAGGUCUAGUCUUUCUACAUCAGAAGAGAUUUGGGGCAGUGGAUCAGUAAAAUUGUUUGAGCCAAGAUUGAUUGAUGAAAAAUGUAAACUUGGAAUACUACCAAUGAUUUGGUUGUGAGAUAGAUCUACAGUACUAAGUGAUCGAGUCCAAAACCAAGCUGGGAUGACACUGGAGAUUCCUGCAUAGGACAUGUUUAGAUCUUCCAAAUACUCCUGUGUUUGAAGCCAUGCAGGAAAUUGAGGCCCUAGAAGGCAAGAACCCAAGUAUAAGUAUGUGAGUUGAAAAGGAGGAGUCCAGUUGGAGCUGACUUGCAAAGUUAACAAGUUUGAAGAUGCAUCCAAUUCUUCUAAACUUGUUAGAUUGCCAAGGUGCUUUUCAGACAUAAUACCCUUGAAGAAAUUUUCCCUAAUGUUUAGAUAACUUAAGGAUGAAAUUCCUCCUAAUGAGAUAGGAAUCUGACCAGAAAACAAGUUUCUAUCAAUGGAAAGGUAGGAUAAACUUUUGAAUUGGCCAAUUUCACUGGGCAAAUAACCUUAAAGCUGAUUCAUUCCCAAGUCUAAAUGCUCUAAACUUUUACAUUCUCCGAGAGUAUCUGGAAAAGAACCCGAAAGUUUAUUUCCUCUCAACCUUAAAAGCUCUAGACCUUUUUGAGGCCUAUCAUAUGACAAAUUCGAAAGUUGGAAAGUACAAAGAUUUCCUAGAGAUCUUAGUAUUUCUCCUUCAAGAGCAUUGUAUGAUAGGUCAAGAUAUGUGAUAGAGGUGAGAUUUCCAAUAUCAUUUGGAAGCUUACCUUGAAACUUGUUAGAUACAAUGUCAAGGGAUCCAAGAUCGAGGUGUUCAAGGCUAGUUAUAUGAUAUAACCAAUCAGGAAUAGAAGAAGCAAAAUUGUUAUAGGAAAGAUCUAGGAAUCUAAGAGAAGUCAUGUUACGAAGACCUGAUGGAAUUGGACCUUGAAUAUAACUGGAUGCUAGAUUAAGAGUAACAAGAGAAUUAAGAUUCGCAAACCAAUCAAAUGAUGAAGACAUAAAAUAAUUAAUUGAAAGGUCAAGGAUGACUAAAGAUGAAAAAUUGACAUGCGGGAGAGGGUCAAUAGUAUGAAGCUCACAAUAAGAUAAGCGUAGCACAGAUAAAGAAUGAAACUUAUUCAUUACCUGUAGCCAAUUUGAUGUUUUGCUUAGGUUCACAUUUGUCAUGUCAAGAAACUUUAGGAAUGAAAAACUAGAAAUCCAUUCAAGAUCCUCAGCAUUCAAAGAAUUUCUAUGGUCGUAAUAAGAAUUCCCAAUGUCGAGAUAAUGCAACUUGGAUAAAUUUCCAAGUUGAUGAGGAAUAACACCACCAAAACUUGCAGUAGAGAGGUUAAGAUAUCUUAAAUUGGAUAAGGAACCAAGGAAUUUUGGAAUAUUAAGGCUCCCAAAGUCAUUGCAACUCAGGUCCAAGUAUUGAAGAUGCUUCAAGUCCAACAAAGAACUACUUAUCUCACCACCCAGAGAACCAUGAUAUUGAUAAAGAUCCCAUCGGAGGUUGAGCUUGAGAACAUGUCCUGUUGUGUUGUGACAACAAACUCCUUCCCAAUUACAACACUCUUCACUGGCCCAAGAAGAGAGUCUGUUUGAAGGAUCAUGAAUGCCUCUUUUGAAGCUCAAAAGAGCUUCUCUUUCUUCUUCUCUGCAAAGAGCCUUCGAACCAUGUCCAUCACAACAACCGAACUUUGUGGCUAGAGUGAAAAGAAAAUAGAGCGAGAGAACCACCAAACCUCUCAUGUACAACUCCAUUAGGCUAGAUGAUUUUAGAGCACACAAUGUGAAAGGUUUCAAGGAUUAUUUAAUAUUUAUAGUCAUUAGAGGCAUGACCCACAAGACUAUAGUGUUGUCUUAUUUCUAAAAAUUUCUAACAUUGAGAGCUCAAUUAUUGUAUUAAAAAAGGAUGGUUGUGGAGUGUGGACUAGUUGUGUGCAUGGAUAAAUUUCAUGUAAAAGAAAAUACAUGAAAUGACAUAAUUAAUUACAUAUGUAAAAUGAAUCCUAUUAGUAUUUUUUUAUUCUUAUCAUUUUCCAUGUUAUUUAAAUAUGUGAAAAUCAUUUUUUUUUUAUAUUUUUCUCAUUUAUUUAACUAGUAUUUUUUAGGAACCAAACAUGGUAUUAAACUUAUAUAGAAUAAGUUUAUUACAUAAAUCAUCUAUAAAAAAAAUUCAUACAAAUGAUGGCUAAUAAUAUAUAUAUUAUUGAAUUAUUGUCCAUAGAAGGAUGACUCAACUCUCCUGCCGUGUUUGACUUGCAAGGAAUAUUGAGAGUGACCGUGACAAAAUUUUCCACAAAAAGAAGAAAAAAUGACAAUAUAAUCUUGUCCUCUUUUGUGUUUGCAAUUAGGCUGGGCCAUGCUAUUCAACACCAAUUAAUCACCCAAUCUAUUUAUAUAUUCAUAUCUGCAUAAAAUUAAACUUCACAUAUACAUCUAAUUAAAGGACAUUUAUUCCUCUAUUUGCAUACAUAAUAAUCCAAAUUAUAUAUUUUAGUUAUUUGGGUGAAUUUUCCAUAUAGUUGGGAACAAGUAAUAAAAAAUAAUGAAAAAAAAAGUCAACUAUUUAUCUUCCUUCAUGAUCAUGGAUAGAGCAAAAUAAAACUAGGAAAGAAUUCAAAUUCUUUUAUUUGGUUGGGAGGAAGAAUAUUAAAGGAAAAGUUAAAUUUGAUCAGAAUUAUGUAAAACAAUAUAUGUAUUUUAAAAUUCUUUAUUAUUUAUAUGACAACAAAAAAAACAAAUUUUAAAAUCAUGUGGAAAAAAAUUAUUAAUAUAUAAACAUAUUUAUAAAUAAAUAAAUAUUUAUUUAUUUAUUUUAUUUCUUUAAUUUUUUUUAUUUCAUUUUUUCCACUGUGUAUACCUUCAUCUAAAAUAAGUAAAUAUACAUUUCAACCCUUUUAUAUAAGAAAAAUUCAAUCUCUACUAUGUAUUGAUAUAAUCCACUUCUAAAAUUAGGUUAUAUGAAAACAUUUUAAUUGAGUACUUAAAAUAAAAACUCUCCAUCCAUCCUCUUUAUUUCUUUUUUUUUUUCUUAUUUUAAUAAGUUUUCAAUUAAUUCAAAUCAUUAAAAAAAUCCUUAAUAAAUAAAUUUGUAACAUUUCAUAUAACUUAUUAUUAAAAGUCAUGUUCAAAAAGUUAUUAAAAUAAGGAAGGAAGAAGAUUAAAAAAAAAUUAAACUUUUUAUUUUAUAAUAGUAAAAAAAAAGUUUAAAAUACUUUUUAGUAUAAAAAAAAUUAAAAUAGUGAAUCUAUUUAUUUUAAAUGGUAUUUGAAUCAUUAAAUUAUUUACUUCUAAAAUGUAAAAGAUAAAAAUAAAUGUAAAAUAUAAUUUUUAUUUAUUUAAAUUAAUAUUUUUUAAAAAAGUAUUUUCCAAAAUAGUCUUUGGAUCAUUAAUAUAAUUUUUAUUUAUUUAUAAUUUAAAAAUAAAAAAUAAUGUUAAAUUUUCAAUUAUUUAUAAAAGAGUUUAAAAAAAUAAUGAAAAAUCUAAUAUAGUUAAAUAAGAAAGAAUAGUGGCAAGUAGUAGGAUAAAAACAAAAAUGAGUCAAGUGAUAUUUUUGUUAAUUAUUAUCACAUAAUUACAGAUGAUUGGAGGAUUUUAUCUUAAUUAGAGAGAGAGAGAGAGAGAGAGAGAGAGAGAGAGAGAGAGAGAGAGAGAGAGAGAGAGAGAGAGAGAGAGAGAGAGAGAGAGAGAGAGAGAGUUUAAAAUAUCAAGAAUUAUUUGUGGUUGUAGAAGCAUGACUCUUUGUCCCAUUUUCUCCAAUUUUGUUGAGCAUUAAAAUUUUUGAAAUUGAAUUAUUGUCCUUAGAAGGAUGACUCAACUCUCUUGCCAUGCUUGACUUGCAAGUAAUGAGAGUGACCGUGACAAAAUUUUCCAUGAAAAAUGCAACAAGGCAAUCUAACACGUCUUUAUGCUGGGGGGUCAUCAUAGAAACAGUACACUCACUAUUUAUUAUAUUAAAAUAAAUAUAUUUGAUAAAUAAUUAAAAUAUUAUAAUUUUUUUUUAAGUAGAAAAAUAUAGGAUAAGACAAAAUAAUAUCUAAACCCACCCGAAUCCAACCCGAGUAUUAAAAAAAUCUCAAACCCACUGCAAACGUGUAUUCAAAUUUCAAAUUUGUCCUACGGAGUGGAAAAAACCCGCCCGGGACAGUUGCCAAAUCUGACUAGCAAAGAGUGUGGAAAGAUUUUCAGUGGUUGGAUUUGGCUUUUUAGGCGUUAGGUUUAGUGGUUGACUUGGAAAUGUGAUGCGCAUUAUUGAGGAUGCGCAAUAUAUCUAUAGAAACUUAGCCCAAUCAACAAGAUGGGGCUGUGAGUGGAGAAAAAAGCUAUGAAUUCUACUCAUAUUGUCGAUGAAAAAUUUGAGAAGAAACAUGAUGAUGUUUUUGGUAUAGUUGAUAAAAAAUUUAUUGACUAUUAAAUUUUACAUUCUAAAUGUUUUUUUUUUCAUGUGUUGGUAUAAGAAGUGGUUUGAUAUCUAUAGGAAUGUAAUGCUAAUAUUAUUUAAGUGGGCAAUGAUUCAAAAUUUAAAUUCAUAGUGAUUGGUACCAUAAAAGUGAGAGUGCUUAAUGGUGUUGUAAGGACAUCGAGUAAUUUUUUUUUCUCGGUGAAGAAUGAUAUUAUAAAUUUCAACAAAAGUGCUUUGAUAGCUAUGAAAGGGGAAAAGAUGAAAAAAUUAUGUACUUUAAUUGGAAAGAUAAUUUACGGUAGAGCUCUUAAGGUGGAGUCAUGCCAUGAAGAGUCUUUUACUGGUGUUAAAGAAAUUUUCAAGAGUAGAUGAACAUGAUAAGAUGAUUAGAACACUAUUUUUCGGCUAAAAGUACCCAUUGACAUAAGGAUGAAAGCAAUUUCAAAAUAAAUAAAGUAAUGAAGAAGACAAAGGCGGUUUCUAGAGUCGGGUUCAAUGAGAGUUUGAACUUGACAUAUGUUUAUUCUCAUUAAAUGUAUAGGAUUAAGAAAACUUAAGUCGAGAUGGAGAUUGUUGGUAUUUAACUGAAACUAUUUAUUUUUAAUUUUUAAGAAAGUUAAUAUUUAUAGAAGUUGUAUUUUUGUAAAUUAUUUAUUAACAAAAAGUAAUUGGAGCCGUUUGGAGCAAUAAGAAAAUUGUUUGCUAAGUUUGUAACUAGAUGCAUAAAAAUUCAUGCAUAUUUCAAUAUCAUUAAAAUUAGUUAAAAACUUUUGCAUUUUCCAAUUAUUUCAUUGUUAUAUAAAAGAAUUAAAACAGAUGAGAUGAGUUUAAAGUGACAUACAAAAUAAAUAAUUAAAUUUAAAUUUAUAGUUUUCUUUUUUAUUUUAUUAUUUUUACUUUUGCCUUUAUUUUUUUCUUUCACAUUUUUUUAAGAACCAAACAUGAACUUUAUAUGAAAUUCCCCAUAAAAAUAAAUAAUAAAAAAAGUAAAAAAUCGUAAGUUAAUGAAUCACAAUACUAAAAGUGUGUUUAACAGUGAUUACAUCAAACUUUUUUAAUAUUUUUAACAUUUGAAAAUUUUUAUCUUUUUAAGUGUCAGAAGGAUAAAAAACGCUUUCGACAAUCAUUGUUAAACAGGCUUUAAAGAUCUAUCUUAACUAACCAUUCCCUUCCAUAAUUACCAUAUUUUUCAUAAGUAAGAUGAAUUUUACAAAUACACAAUGUUAUUCACAAUGGAAGAAAUAUCAAAUAUAAAAACUCAUGUUUCUUCAAAUUAGGAUAUCAUUUCGAAGUUUUAGCGAUGAGGCUUUGGUAAAGUAGAUUGGGGCUGUGUGAGGGAGAGUAGAGACGAAGUGACUCGAUUUGGGUCUUUGACACGUUUUUAUUCCAUGCCAUGUCAUCCUCCAGCUUGGUAUCCAAUUCAGAUACUCAUUGAAGCUUAGGCGUGAAACUCUUCAAAGGGGAUUGUUCUUCAACUUUAGCCUUUUUUGUAUUGCCACUAACCACUAAAUAGGCGGAUUUUAGAAAAUGAAUACAGUAUUUUUUAAAAUAUGAUAAUUAAAAAAUUAUUUCCAAUUCCAUGACAAUUUGUAUGAUUUUUUUUUUUUUAAUACAUCAUUGGAAAACACAAGAAAACGACGUCGUUCGAAGCAGAACUGUAAAGCGCCCUUCGGCCUAGCAUCGACUCUCUUCACUGCAAUCGGUGGCUUUUGCGGUCUCUCUCUAGCUCUAGGUAUCAGAUCUCUUCGUUUAUUAAAAUUUUUCUUUGUUUGUUUGAUGAGAAACUAAAAGAAAAUGAGAUAGAUGGAAUGUUCUGAAUCCUAAAGUUUUCAUCAUUUACACCUGGUGGAAACAGAAUCUUCCCCUAAAUUAGCGUUGUAUGAGUAUUUAGCUGAAUUUAGAAUUUUCAAUUUCUUUUCUUUUCCUUAAUUUUAUCAGCACCCAAGCAGUCAUUUAGGGUUUUUCUGGCUUGAGAUAUUGGCAUUUGAUCUAUUUGAUUUUUAUUCUAGUUCAGAAAAAUGUAAAUAUAUUUGCUAAAGAAUUAGAAUAACCAAAAAUUGAUCAUGGAAUUGAGCUAAAAAUUUUCCGGUGCUGCAGAAACUUCAAAAACAAAAAAGUUUGUGUCUCGUCUUAAUUCACAUCCAUAUUUAGCGUUGUUGGGUGAAUUCAUCAAUAAGGAAAAAUGCAGUUCUUUGGAGGGUCGGAGAUCAGCCCAUUGCCGCCGCUGCCAACAGCAUCGGGAAACAAUGCCCACAUAAUGUAUGUGUUUAACAGGAAUGGGGUGUGCUUGCUUUACAGGGAAUGGAAUCGCCCUCUUAGGACUCUGAAUGCCCAGCAAGACCAUAAGCUCAUGCUUGGUCUCCUUUUCUCUCUGAAGUCCUUAACAGCUAAGAUGGAUCCCACUAGUUAUAUCUUCUUCCUAGUCUUUUAUUCGAAUUGGAACUGUUUUCGGGGUGUUUAGGUGUUUUGUGGAAAUGGAAUUACUUGAUUUUGUAUUUGGAUAACUUUUGAAAGCAUAAAUUCAUUGUUUGGAAUACAAUUAUAACAUAUAUGUAAGAAGAAAGAAAUCAGGAUGAGCAAAAGGACAUAAUUUGAACUGAUAAAUUCAAACUUGGGAUCAGUAAAAAAAACAUGGAAAACAAGGUUGCCAAAUUUAUUUGCAAUUACAAACACCAUCCGAGUAGUUUAUACUUCACGUCGUCCAGCAACCGAAAAUAAGCAUGUCUCCAAGCUCUGUUGAAUGCUAAUGGAGCCAAAAUGGCCCAAAAGCCAACCACGAAACCCCAUGGCAUACCCAAAUAGAACCAUUUCAUAUCAAUCCAUCCAUUGUCCUCUUCAUCAUCAUUGUCCGGAAUUGGACCUUUUGGUUUACCAUCUUCCCCACAACCAUCAGUCAGUGGAGCUCCACAAAGCUCCGGGUUGCCAAUGAAACUGAGGGGACUAAAGCCUUGGAUCUGGGUGCCUGAUGGAAUUUUGCCAGACAAGUUGUUGUAUGACAAAUUUAAAUUGCUCAAAAAUGAUAUAUUUGCCAUACCUUGAGGAAUAACACCAGAGAGUCUAUUCAUGGAGAGAUCAAGAGACUCCAGUGAUGUCAUGGCCCCAAUCUUCACAGGAAUCUUCCCUUGGAGAUGGUUAUUAGACAGGUUCAAGAAUAUCAACCCAUGGAGAUCUGUGAGUUCUUCUGGGAUCUCACCAGAUAACUUAUUGCUUGAGAGGUCCAUGCCAGCUAGGAGGCCAAGUGUAUUGUCGUACUCGUACUCUACUCCUUUCAUAACCAGUGUUGCUGUGUCGGUUGAUUCCGAUUCAAAAUAACGUUCAUUAUGAAAAGGAAAUGGGGAACUUGAAUUCGAUUGUUUGGUCAUGCUGCUGAAAUUACUAAAGCAUCUAGGAAUGGUUCCCGAGAGAUUGUUGUUUCCCAAGUCCAGGAUUUGAAGGGAAUCAAGGUGGCAGAGUUCAAGAGGAAUACUUCCAGUGAACUUAUUUGAAUGAAGGACAAGAACCAUUAGACCCGGUGUAUAUGCAAUCUCACCAUCCACUGGUAAUGUUUCAAUGAACUUUCCAUCGAAGUUCCCCAUCCAUGCUGGUAUCGUCCCAGUGAAUUCAUUCUUACUAAGGUCUAGAACCACUAGACUAGAGCAAUUUUUCAAUGGAAGUGGAAAAUUUCCGGAGAGAUGGUUGUUGCGCAAGUGCAAUGAACCGAGCCAAAUUAGAGAACCCAUGGAGCUAGGUAUAUGUCCCGUCAGAUUAUUAUUUCCCAAUUUUAACAUCGUCAAUUCUCUCCAAUACAUCCAACAAUUGGGAAGUUCUCCUGACAGAAGAUUUCCUGAGAUGUCUAGAGACUCCAAUAAAUUUACUUCUUUAUCAGUUCUCCGACACAACAUGGGUGAAAGAGAUCCACAGAAUAAAUUAUUGGAGAGGUCUAGUCUUUCUACAUCAGAAGAGAUUUGGGGCAGUGGAUCAGUGAAAUUGUUUGAGCCAAGAUUGAUUGAUGCAAAAUGUAAACUUGGAAUUCUACCAGAGAUUUGGUUGUGAGACAGAUCAACUGUAUCAAAGGAUCGUGUCCAAAACCAAGCUGGGAUGACACUAGAGAUUCCUGCAUAGGACAUGUUUAGAUCUUUCAAAUACUUCUGUGUUUGAAGCCAUGCAGGAAAUUGAGGCCCUGGAGCUGACUUGCAAAGUUAACAAGUUUGAAGAUGCAUCCAAUUCUUCUAAACUUGUUAGAUUGGCAAGGAGCUUUUCAGAUAUUAUACCCUCGAAGAAGUUUUCCUUAAUGCUUAGAUAACGCAAGGAUGAAAUUCCUCCUAAUGAGACAGGAAUCUGACCAGAAAACGAGUUUCCAUCAAUAGAAAGAGAGGACAAGCUUUCUAAUUGACCAAGUUCAUUGGGCAAAUGACCUGAAAGCUGAUUCAUUCCCAAGUCUAAACCCUCUAAACUUUUACAUUCCCCAAGAGUAUCCGGAAAAGAACCUGAAAGUUUAUUUCCCCUCAAGCUUAAAAACUCUAGACUUUUUCUAGGCCUAUCAUAUGACAAAUUCGAAAGUUGGAAAGUACAAAGAUUUCCAAGAGAUCUCAGCACGUCUCCUUCAAGAGCAUUGUAUGAUAGGUCAAGAUAUGUGAUAGAAGUGAGAUUUCCAAUAUCAUUUGGAAGCUUACCUUGAAACUUGUUAGAUACAAUGUCAAGGGAUCCAAGAUCGAGGUGUUCAAGGCUAGUUAUAUGAUAUAACCAAUCAGGAAUAGAAGAAGCAAAAUUGUUAUAGGAAAGAUCUAGGAAUCUAAGAGAAGUCAUGUUACGAAGACCUGAUGGAAUUGGACCUUGAAUAUAACUAGAUGCUAGAUUAAGAGUAACAAGAGAAUUAAGAUUCGCAAACCAAUCAAAUGAUGAAGACAUAAAAUAAUUAAUUGAAAGGUCAAGGAUGACUAAAGAUGAAAAAUUGACAUGCGGGAGAGGGUCAAUAGUAUGAAGCUCACAAUAAGACAAGCGUAGCACAGAUAAAGAAUGAAACUUAUUCAUUACUUGUAGCCAAUUUGAUGCCUUGCUUAGGUUCACAUUUGUCAUGUCAAGAAACUCUAGGAAUGAAAGACCAAAAAUCCAUUCAAGAUCCUCAGCAUUCAAAGAAUUGCUAUGGUCGUAAUAAGAAUUCCCAACGUCGAGAUAAUGCAACUUGGAUAAAUUUCCAAGUUGAUGAGGAAUAACACCACCAAAACCUGCAGUAGAGAGGUUAAGAUAUCUUAAAUUGGAUAAGGAACCAAGGAAUUUUGGAAUAUUAAGACUCCCAAAGUCAUUGCAGCUCAGGUCCAAGUAUUGAAGGUGCUUCAAGUCCAACAAAGAACUACUUAUCUCACCACCCAAAGAACCAUGAUCUUGAUAAAGAUCCCGUCGGAGGUUGAGCUUGAGAGCAUGUCCUGUUGUGUUGUGACAACGAACUCCUUCCCAAUUACAACACUCUUCAUUGGCCCAAGAAGAGAGUCUGUUUGAAGGAUCAUGAAUGCCUCUUUUGAAGCUCAAAAGAGCUUCUCUUUCUUCUUCUCUGCAAAGAGCCUUCGAACCAUGUCCAUCACAACAACCGAACUUUGUGGCUAGAGUGAAAAGAAAAUAGAGCGAGAGAACCACCAAACCUCUCAUGUACAACUCCAUUAGGCUAUAUGAUUUUAGAGCACACAAUGUGAAAGGUUUCAAGAAUUAUUUAAUAUUUAUAGUCAUUAGAGGCAUGACCCACAAGACUAUAGUGUUGUCUUAUUUCUAAAAAUUUCUAACAUUGAGCGCUCAUAAUUAAUUACAUAUGUAAAAUGAAUCCUAUUAGUAUUUUUUUUAUUCUUAUCAUUUUCCAUGUUAUUUAAAUAUGUGAAAAUCAUUUUUUUUUUCUCAUUUAUUUAACUAGUAUUUUUUAGGAACCAAACAUGGUAUUAAACUUAUAUAGAAUAAGUUUGUUACAAAUCAUCUAUAAAAAAAAAAAUUCAUACAAAUUAUGGCUAAUAAUAUAUAUAUUAUUGAAUUAUUGUCCAUAGAAGGAUGACUCAACUCUCCUGCCGUGUUUGACUUGCAAGGAAUAUUGAGAGUGACCGUGACAAAAUUUUCCACAAAAAGAAGAAAAAAUGACAAUAUAAUCUUGUCCUCUUUUGUGUUUGCAGUUAGGCUGGGCCAUGCUAUUCAACACCAAUUAAUCACCCAAUCUAUUUAUAUAUUCAUAUUUGCAUAAAAUUAAACUUCACAUAUACAUCUAAUUAAAGGACAUUUAUUCCUCUAUUUGCAUACAUAAUAAUCCAAAUUAUAUAUUUUAGUUAUUUGGGUGAAUUUUCCAUAUAGUUGGGAACAAGUAAUAAAAAAUAAUGAAAAAAAAAGUCAACUAUUUAUCUUCCUUCAUGAUCAUGGAUAGAGCAAAAUAAAACUAGGAAAGAAUUCAAAUUCUUUUAUUUGGUUGGGAGGAAGAAUAUUAAAGGAAAAGUUAAAUUUGAUCAUAAUUAUGUAAAACAAUAUAUGUAUUUUAAAAUUCUUUAUUAUUUAUAUGACAACAAAAAAAACAAAUUUUAAAAUCAUGUGGAAAAAAGUUAUUAAUAUAUAAACAUAUUUAUAAAUAAAUAUUUAUUUAUUUAUUUUCUUUAUUUCUUUAAUUUUUUUAUUUCAUUUUUUCCACUGUGUAUACCUUCAUCUAAAAUAAGUAAAUAUACCUUUCAACCCUUUUAUAUAAGAAAAAUUCAAUCGUUACUAUGUAUUGAUAUAAUCCACUUCUAAAAUUAGGUUAUAUGAAAACAUUUUAAUUGAGUACUUAAAAUAAAAACUCUUCAUCCAUCCUCGGUAUUUCUUUUUCUUUUUCUUAUUUUAAUAAAUUUUCAAUUAAUUCAAAUCAUUAAAAAAAAUCCUUAAUAAAUAAAUUUAUAACAUUUCAUAUAACUUAUUACUAAAAGUCAUGUUAAAAAAGUUAUUAAAAUAAGGAAAGAAGAAGAUUAAAAAAAAAUUAAACUUUUUAUUUUAUAAUAGUAAAAAAAACUUUAAAAUACUUUUUAGUAUAAAAAAUUUAAAAUAGUGAAUAUAUUUAUUUUAAAUGGUAUUUUAAUCAUUAAAUUAUUUACUUCUAAAAUGUAAAAGAUAAAAAUAAAUGUAAAAGAUAAUUUUUAUUUAUUUAAAUUAAUAUUUUUUUAGAAAGCAUUUUCUCUUUGGAUCAUUAAUAUAAUUUUUGUUUAUUUAUAAUUUAAAAAUAAAAAAUAGUGUUAAAUUUUCAAUUAUAUCAAUUAUCCCAUUUCUAAAAUUCUUUACUCAAUUAUUGAAUUCAAAAAGGACGGCUGUGGAAGAAAUAACAUUGAUUUCACAGAGAGAGAGAGAGAGAGUUUAAAAUAUCAAGAAUUAUUUGUGGUUUUACAAGCUUCUCCAAUUUUGUUGAGCAUUAAAAUUUUUGAAAUUGAAUUAUUGUCCUUAGAAGGAUGACUCAACUCUUUGACAAAAUUUUCCAUGAAAAAUGCAACAAGACAGUCUAACACGUCUUUAUGCUGGGCUGGGCUGGGCUGGAGGGGGGUCAUCAUAGAAACAGUACACUCACUAUUUAUUAUAUUAAAGUAAAUAUAUUUGAUAAAUAAUUAAAAUAUUAUAAUUUUUUUUUUAAAAUAGAAAAAUAUAGGAUAAGACAAAAUAAUAUCUAAACCCACCCGAAUCCAACCCGAGUAUUAAAAAAUUUUCAAACCCACCGCAAACGUGUAUUCAAAUUUCAAAUUUGUCCUACAGGGUGGAAAAAACCCGCCCAGGACAGUUGCCAAAUCUGACUAGCAAAGAGUGUGGAAAGAUUUUCAGUGGUUCGAUUUGGCUUUUUAGGUGUUAGGUUUAGUGGUUGACUUGGAAAUGUGAUGCACAUUUUUGAGGAUGUGUCUUUAUAAUAUUAUUAUAUCUAUAGAAACUUAGCCCAAUCAACAAGAUGGGGCUGUGAGUGGAGAAAAAAGCUAUGAAUUCUACUCAUAUUGUCGAUGAAAAGUUUGAGAAGAAACAUGAUGAUGUUUUUGGUAUAGUUGAUAAAAAAUUUAUUGACUAUUAAAUUUUACAUUUUAAAUGUUUUUUUUUUCAUGUGUCGGUAGUUUGAUAUCUAUAGGAAUGUAAUGCUAAUACCAUUUAAGGGGGCAAUGAUUCAAAAUUUAAAUUCAUAAUGAUUGAUACCAUAAAAGUGAGAGUGUUUAAUGGUGUUGUAAGGACAUCGAGUAAUUUUUUUUGGGAGCUUUGGAAACAUUAGGCUAUGAUUUUUCUCGGUGAAAAAUGAUAUUAUAAAUUUCAACAAAAGUGCUUUGAUAGCUAUGAAAGGGGAAAAGAUGAAAAAAUUAUGUACUUUAAUUGGAAAGAUAAUUUAAGGUAGAGCUCUUAAGGUGGAGUCAUGCCAUGAAGAGUCUUUUACUGGUGUUAAAGAUAUUAUCGAGAGUAGAUGAACAUGAUAAGAUGAUUAGAACUCUAUUUUUCGGCUAAAAGUACCCAUUAACAUAAGGAUGAAAGCAAUUUCAAAAUAAAUAAAAUUAUGAAUAAAACAAAGAUGAUUUCAAUGAGAGUUUGAACUUGACGUAUGUUUAUUCUCAUUAAAUGUAUAGGAUUAAGAAAACUUAAGUCGAGAUGGAGAUUGUUGGUAUUUAACUCAAACUAUUUAUUUUUAAUUUUUAAGAAAGUUAAUAUUUAUAGAAGUUGCAUUUUUGUAAAUUAUUUAUUAACAAAAAGUAAUUGGAGCCGUUUGGAGCAAUAAGAAAAUUGUUUGCUAAGUUUGUAACUAGAUGCAUAAAAAUUCACGCAUAUUUCAAUAUCAUUAAAAUUAGUUAAAAACUUUUGCAUUUUCCAAUUAUUUCAUGGUUAUAUAAAAGAAUUGAAACAUAUGAGAUGAGUUUAAAGUGACAUACAAAAUAAAUAAUUAAAUUUAAAUUUAUUGUUUUCUUUUUUAUUUUAUUUUUUCUACUUUUGCCUUUAUUUUUUUCUCUCACAUUUUCCUCACAUUUUUUGAAGAAUCAAACAUGAACUUUAUAUGAAGUUCCCCAUAAAAAUAAAAAAUAAAAAAAGUAAAAAAUCGUAAGUUGAUGAAUCACAAUACUAAAAGUGCGUUUAACAGUGAUUACAUGAAACGUUUUUAAUAUUUUUAACACUUGAAAAUUUUUAUCUUUUUAAGUGUUAGAAGGAUAAAAAACGCUUUCGACAAUCAUUGUUAAACAGGUUUUAAAGAUCUAUCUUAACUAACCAUUCCCUUUCAUAAUUAUCAUAUUUUUCAUAAGUAAGAUGAAUUUAACAAAUACACAAUGUUAUUCACAAUGGAAGAAAUAUCAAAUAUAAAAACUCAUUUUUCUUCAAAUUAGGAUAUCAUUUCAAAGUUUUAGUGAUGAGGCUUUGGUAAAGUAGAUUGGGGCUGUGUGAGGGAGAGUAGAGACGAAGUGACUCGAUUUGGGUCUUUGACACGUUUUUAUUCCAUGCCAUGUCAUCCUCCGGCUUGGCAUCCAAUUGAGAUACUCAUUGAAGCUUGGGCGUGAAACUCUUCAAAGGGGAUUGUUCUUCGGACUUUUCUCAAUAGUGCAGUAAUUUAAAAAAGUUAUUCUUAAAUUACUAUAGUGGAAGAAGUUAUUACAAAUAUAGGGUAGUUUUUGCCACAUAGGAGAGAGGAGAGAGGAGAGAGGGUGAGAGAGAGGAGAGAGGAGAGAGGAGAGAGGAGAUAGGAGAUAGGAGAGAGGAGAGAGGAGAUAGGAGAUAGGAGAUAGGAGAGAGGAGAGAGGGUGAACGAUAAAAUUUUUUAAAAAAGCGAACUCGUCUCUUGAAGAGACGAGUUCCAUGAAAGAUAAUUAUUCAAGGAAACUCAUCUCUUCAAGAGACGAGUUCCCAUUAAAAAAAAAUAUAUAUAUUUUUAAAAAAUUCACAAAUUAAAAAAAAUAAAAUAAAAUUUGGAACUAAAGGGAACUCGUGUGAAGAGACGAGUUCCCAUGGGAAAAAAAAUAUAUUAUUUUUUAAAAAUAUAUUUUUCAUUUAAAAAAAAUCCCAAAAAAAAAAAAAAUCCUAAAGGAACUCGUCUCUUGAAGAGACGAGUUCCUUGGGAAAAAAAAUAUUUUUUUUUAAAAAUAUAUUUUUUAUUUUAAAAAAUCCCAAAUUUAAAAAAAAAAAAAAAAAAAAAAAAACACAAUUCCAAAGGGAACUCGUCUCUUCAAGAGACGAGUUCCCAUGUAAAAAAAAAAUAUUUUUUUAAAUAUAUAUUAAAAAAAAAAAAAAAAACAAUUCCUAAAGGGAACUCGUCUCUUCAAGAGACGAGUUCCCAUGUAAAAAAAAAAUAUUUUNNNNNNNNNNNNNNNNNNNNNNNNNNNNNNNNNNNNNNNNNNNNNNNNNNNNNNNNNNNNNNNNNNNNNNNNNNNNNNNNNNNNNNNNNNNNNNNNNNNNAAAAAAAAAAUUUUUUUUUUAAUAUUUUUUUAAAAAAAAAAAAAAAACAAUUUUUAAUAGGAACUUGUUUUUUCAAGAGAGGGGUUUCCCUGUAAAAAAAAAAAAUUUUUUUUUAAAAUUUUUUUUUUUAAAAAAAAAAAUUCCAGGGGGGGGUUCAAAAAAAAAAUAUUUUUUUUAAAAUUUUUUUUUUUUUUUAAAAAAUCCCCAAUUUAAAAAAAAAAAAAAAAAAAAAAAACAAUUCCUCAAAAUUCCUAAAGAAGAGACGAGUUCCCAUGUAAAAAAAAUAUUUUUUUUUAAAUAUAUAUAUAUAUAUAUAUAUAUAUAUAUAUAUAUAUAUAUAUAUAUAUAUAUAUAUAUAUAUAUAAAAAAAAAUUUCAAGAGAUGAGUUCAAAAAAAAUAUUCUUUUUUUAAAAAAUAUAUUUUUUAUUUUAAAAAAUCCCAAAUUAAAAAAAAAAAAAAAAAACACAAUUCCAAAGGAAGAGACGAGUUCCCAUGUAAAAAAAAUAUUUUUUUAAAUAUAUAUUAAAAUAAAAAAAAAUUAAAAAAAAAAAAAAAAACAAUUCCUAAAGGGAACUCGUCUCUUCAAGAGUCGAGUUCCCAUGUAAAAAAAAAUAUUUUUUUUAAAAAUAUAUAUAUAUAAAAAAAAAUUUCAAGAGACGAGUUCAAAAAAAAUAUAUUUUUUUUAAAAAUAUAUUUUUUAUUUUAAAAAAUCCCAAAAUUAAAAAAAAAAAAAAAAAAAAAAACCAUUCCUCAAAAUUCCUAAAGAAAAAAGGUUUCCCCGUGAAAAAAAAAAAUUAUUUUUUUAAAAAANNNNNNNNNNNNNNNNNNNNNNNNNNNNNNNNNNNNNNNNNNNNNNNNNNNNNNNNNNNNNNNNNNNNNNNNNNNNNNNNNNNNNNNNNNNNNNNNNNNNGUUCCCCUGUAAAAAAAAAUAUUUUUUUUAAAAAUUUUUUUUUUUAAAAAAAAAUUUCCAGGGGGGGGUUCAAAAAAAAUUUUUUUUUUUUAAAAAUAUGUUUUUUUUUUUAAAAAAUCCCAAAACUAAAAAAAAAAAAAAAAAAAAAAACCGUUCCUCAAAAUUCCUAAAGAAGAAAUGAGUUCCCAUGUAAAAAAAAAUAUUUUUUUUAAAAAAUAUAUAUAUAUGUAAAAAAAAAAAAUUUCAAGAGGCGAGUUCAAAAAAAAUAUAUUUUUAAAAAAAUAUAUAUUUUUUAUUUUAAAAAAUUCCAAAUUUAAAAAAAAAAAAAAAAAAAAAACACAAUUCCAAAGGGAACUCGUCUCUUGAAGAGACGAGUUCCCAUGUAAAAAAAUAUAUAUAUAUAUAUUUUAAAUAUAUAUAUUAAAAAAAAAAAAAAACAAUUCCUCAAAAUUCNNNNNNNNNNNNNNNNNNNNNNNNNNNNNNNNNNNNNNNNNNNNNNNNNNNNNNNNNNNNNNNNNNNNNNNNNNNNNNNNNNNNNNNNNNNNNNNNNNNNCAAAUUUGGGGUUUUUUAAAAAAAAAAAAAUAUUUUUUAAAAAAAUUUUUUUUUUUCCUAAAAGGAACUUUGAAAUUUUUUUUUUUUUUUUUUUCAUGGGAACUUGUUUUUUCAAGAGGCGAGUUCCCCUUUGGAGGAAAUGUUUUUUUUUUUUUUUUUUUAAUAAAUAUAUUUAAAAAAAAAGUAUUUUUUUUUUUUACAUGGGAACUCGUCUUUUCAAGAGACGAGUUCCCUUUGGAAUUGUUUUUUUUUUUUUUUUAAUUUAGGAUUUUUAAAAUUUAAAAAUAUAUUUAAAAAAAAAUAUUUUUUUCCUAAAGGAACUCGUCUCUUGAAUAGACGAGUUCCCUUUAGGAAAUUUUUUUUUUCAAAUAUAUAUAUAUAUUUUUAAAAAAAAUAUUUUUUUUACAUGGGAACUCGUCUCUUGAAAAGACGAGUUCCCUUUGGAAUUGUGUUUUUUUUUUUUUUUUUUUUUUUUUUAAUUUGGGAUUUUUUAAAAUAAAAAAUAUAUUUAAAAAAAAUAUUUUAAAAAAAAAUAUUUUUUUUUCCAAGGAACUCGUCUCCCUUUAGGAAUUUUUUUUUUUAAAUAAAAAAUAUAUUUUAAAUAAAUAAUAUAUAUUUUUUCCUAUGGGAACUCAUCUCUUCAGACGAGUUCCCUUUAGUUCCAAAUUUUUUUUUUAAUUUGUGAAUUUUUUAAAAAUAUAUAUAUAUAUAUUUUUUUAAUUGGAACUCGUCUCUUGAAGAGACGAGUUUCCUUGAAUAAUUCUCUUUCAUGGAACUCGUCUCUUCAAGAGACGAGUUCAAGAGACGAGUUCGCUUUUUUAAAAAUUUUUAUUCCUUCACCCUCUCUCCUCUCUCCUAUCUCCUCUCUCCUCUCUCCUCUCUCUCACCCUCUCUCCUCUCUACUAUGUGGCAAAAACUACCCUAUAUUUGUAAUAACUUCUUCCACUACAGUAAUUUAAGAAUAACUUUUUUAAAUUAAUGCACUAUUGAGAAAAGUCCAUUGUUCUUCAACUUUAGCCUUUUUUUGUAUUGCCACUAACCACUAAAUAGGCGGAUUUUAGAAAAUGAAUACAGUAUUUUUAAAAAUAUGAUAAUUAAAAAAUUAUUUCCAAUUCCAUGACAAUUUGUAUGAUUUUUUUUUUUAAAUACAUCAUUGGAAAACACAAGAUAACGACGUCGUUCGAAGCAGAACUGUAAGGCGCCCUUCGGCCGAGCAUCGACUCUCUUCACUGCAAUCGGUGGCUUUUGCGGUCUCUCUCUAGCUCUAGGUAUCAGAUCUCUUCGUUUAUUAGAAUUUUUCUUUGUUUGUUUGAUGAGAAACUGAAAGAAAAUGAGAUGGAUGGAAUGUUCUGAAUCUUAAAGUUUUCAUCAUUUACACCUGGUGGAAACAGAAUCUUCCCCUAAAUUAGCGUUGUAUACGUAUUUAGCUGAAUUUAGAAUUUUCAAUUUCUUUUCUUUUCCUUAAUUUUAUCAGCAUCCAAGCAGUCAUUUAGGGUUUUUCUGGCUUGAGAUAUUGGCAUUUGAUCUAUUUGAUUUUUAUUCUUGUUCAGAAAAAUGUAAAUAUAUUUGCUAAAGAAUUAGAAUAACCAAAAAUUGAUCGUCUUAAUUCACAUCCAUAUUUAGCGUUGUUGGGUGAAUUCAUCAAUAAGGAAAAAUGCAGUUCUUUGGAGGGUCGGAGAUCAGCCCAUUGCCGCCGCUGCCAACAGCAUCGGGAAACAAUGGCCACAUGAUGUAUGUGUUUAACAGGAAUGGGGUGUGCUUGCUUCACAGGAAUGGAAUCGCCCUCUUAGGACUCUGAAUGCCCAGCAAGACCAUAAGCUCAUGUUUGGUCUGCUUUUCUCUCUUAAGUCCUUAACAGCUGAGAUGGAUCCCACUGAGUAUAUCUUCUUCCUAGUCUUUGAUUCGAAUUGGAACUGUUUUCGGGGAAAUGGAAUUACUUGAUUUUGUAUUUGGAUAACUUUUGAAAGCAUAAAUUCAUUGUUUGGAAUAGAAUUAUGACAUAUAUGUAAGAAGAAAGAAAUCAGGAUGAGCAAAAGGACAUAAUUUGAACUGAUAAAUUCAAACUCGGGAUGAUUAAAAAAAACAUGGAAAACAAGGUUGCCAAAUUUAUUUGCAAUUACAAACACCAUCCGAGUAGUUUAUACUUCACGUCAUCCAGCAACCGAAAAUAAGCAUGUCUCCAAGCUCUGUUGAAUGCUAAUGGAGCCAAAAUGGCCCAAAAGCCAACCACGAAACCCCAUGGCAUACCCAAAUAGAACCAUUUCAUAUCAAUCCAUCCAUUGUCCGGAAUUGGACCUUUUGGUUUACCAUCUUCACCACAAUCAUCAGUCAGUGGAGCUCCACAAAGCUCCGGGUUGCCAAUGAAACUGAGGGCACUAAAGCCUUGGAUCUGGGUGCCUGAUGGAAUUUUGCCAGACAAGUUGUUGUAUGACAAAUUUAAACUGCUCAAAAAUGAUAUAUUUGCCAUACCUUGAGGAAUAACACCAGAGAGUCCAUUCAUGGAGAGAUCAAGAGACUCCAGUGAUGUCAUGGCCCCAAUCUUCACAGGAAUCUUCCCUUGGAGAUGGUUAUUAGACAGGUUCAAGAAUAUCAAACCAUGGAGAUCUGUGAGUUCUUCUGGGAUCUCACCAGAUAACUUAUUGCUUGAGAGGUCCAUGCCAGCUAGGAGGCCAAGUGUUUUGUCGUACUCAUACUCUAUUCCUUUCAUAACCAGUGUUGCUGUGUCGGUUGAUCCCGAUUCAAAAUGUUCAUUAUGAAAACGAAAGGGGGAACUUGAAUUCAAUUCUUUGAUCAUGCUGCUGAAAUUACCAAAGCAUCUAGGAAUGGUUCCCGAGAGAUUGUUGUUUCCCAAGUCCAAGAUUUGAAGGGAAUGAAGGUGGCAGAGUUCAAGAGGAAUACUUCCAGUGAACUUAUUUGAAUGCAGGACAAGAACCAUUAGACCCGGUGUAUAUCCAAUCUCACCAACCCCUGGAAAUAUUUCAAUGAAGUUCCCCAUCCAUGCUGGUAUCGUCCCAGUGAAUUCAUUCUUACUAAGGUCUAGAACCAGUAGACUAGAGCAAUUUUUCAAUGGAAGUGGAAAAUUUCCGGAGAGAUGGUUGUUGCGCAAGUGCAAUGAACCGAGCCAAAUUAGAGAACCCAUGGAGCUAGGUAUAUGUCCCGUCAGAUUAUUAUUUCCCAAUUUUAACAUCAUCAAUUCUCUCCAAUACAUCCAACAAUUGGGAAGUUCUCCUGACAGAAGAUUUCCUGAGAUGUCUAGAUACCACAAUAAAUUUACUUUUUUAGUUCUCCGACACAACAUAGGUGAAAGAGAUCCACGGAAUAAAUUAUUGGAGAGGUCUAGUUCUUCUACAUCAGAAGAGAUUGGGGGCAGUGGACCAGUGAAAUUGUUUGAGCUGAGAUAGAUACAGGAUGAAUGUAAACUUGGAAUACUACCAAUGAUUUGGUUGUGAGAUAGAUCUACAAAAUAAUAGGGUCGUGUCCAAAACCAAGCUGGGAUGACACUGGAGAUUCCUGCAUAGGACAUGUUUAGAUAGUCCAAAUACUUCUGUGUUUGAAGCCAUGCAGGAAAUUGAGGCCCUAGAAGGCAAGAACCCAAGUCUAAGUCUGUGAGUUGAAAAGGAGGAGUCCAGUUGGAGCUGACUUGCAAAGUUAACAAGUUUGAAGAUGCAUCCAAUUGUUUUAAACUUGUUAGAUUGGCAAGGUGCUUUUCAGAUAUAAUACCCUCGAAGAAGUUUUCCCUAAUCUUUAGAUAACGCAAGGAUGAAAUUCCUCCUAAUGAGAUAGGAAUAUGACCAGAAAACGAGUUUCCAUCAAUAGAAAGAGAGGACAAACUUUUGAAUUGGCCAAGUUCAUUGGGCAAAUGACCUGAAAGCCGAUUUUUUGCCAGGUUUAAAUGUUCUAAACUUUUACAUUCUCCAAGAGUAUCUGGAAAAGAACCUGAAAGCUUAUUUCCUCUCAAGCUUAAAAACUCUAGACCUUUUCGAGGCCUAUCAUAUGAAGAAUUCGAAAGUUGAAAACUACAAAGAUUUCCAAGAGAUCUCAGCACGUCUCCUUCAAGAGCAUUGUUUGAUAGGUAAAGAUAUGUGAUAGAAGUGAGAUUUCCAAUAUCAUUUGGAAGCAUACCAUGAAAAUAGUUAUGUGUAAGAUCGAGGUAUUCAAGGCUAGUUAUAUGAUAUAACCAAUCAGGAAUAGGAGAAGCAAAAUUGUUAUAGGAAAGAUCUAGGAAUUUAAGAGAAGUCAUGUUACGAAGACCUGAUGGAAUUGGACCAUGAAUAUUACUGUAUGCUAGAUUAAGAGUAACAAGAGAAUUAAGAUUAGCAAACCAAUCAAAUGAUGAAGACAUAAAAUAAUUACUUGAAAGGUCAAGGAUGACUAAGGAUGAAAAAUUGACAUGCGGGAGAGGGUCAAAAGUAUCAAGCUCACAAUAAGACAAGCGUAGCACAGAUAAAGAAUGAAACUUAUUCAUUACCUGUAGCCAAUUUGAUGCCUUGCUUAGGUUCACAUUUGCCAUGUCAAGGAAUUUUAGGAAG
rnacentral:lncRNA from 1 species